GAGGGUUUAGCUCAGUGGUAGAGUGCGUGCCUAGCGUGCACAAGGUCCUGGAUUCAAUCCCCAGCACCUCCA
rfam:Camelus ferus unplaced genomic scaffold scaffold1428, whole genome shotgun sequence.